CAUUUUGACAUUUUGACAUUUUGACAUUUUGACAUUUUGACAUUUCUCGGAUUAGUUUUAUUUAAAAAAAACAUUUAUGGGCGCGUUGUAUAUGAUUGACCCAAUCCUUGAUAACAUAUGUCCGUCAUAUGUGUACGGCCCCUAGCUAGAAACUGUCAUCGGCCUUAGAAGAUCGUUUGUGAUGGUGUGGUUUCGUAGAUAAUUAUGACAAAAAUGGAUUUCAAUUAGGUUUUCGUGCAUUAUUUGACCAAAAUAGGAUACAAAAAUUUCUAUGAACAGGUUAUGGCCGGACGAUGACCCUCCCCAGCCCUAGAUGUUCCAGUUUUCCGGAAAGGCGGCGAAAGACGAACAACCAUCUCAGGAAUCAGGAGGACUGUUGGAGAAAAGCAAGCAGGUCCAAAUCCAAAUAGUGAUAGCGCCGGAUCACAACUGUUCUCGCGGGAACUCGUUUAUUCUGGAUGGGCAUGGAUCGAAAAAGCAAGCUUGGACGAUGGCCGUUUGCUGUCAUUAUUUUAAAUUGUGAAUUUAGUGUUGUUUUGAUUUUUAAAACAAAUUAAAUGUUGCUGUUUUGAUUUUUGAAAUGUGCGUGUUGGUUUGAACAAAUUAUUUGAAAUGACCGUGCAAGCCGGUACGAAUGCAAAAGAGCCGACGACAGCGCUGUCCAAGCGGUGGGAUUUGGAACUAAAGUUCAUUCUGCACGUACACUAACACAAUCAAGAAACACGGCGAACGGGAGUGCACAAUACAUAGAGAGAAACGUCAAAACUGGGUCGAAUGAAUUUGACUGAUUUUGACGGAGAUUUCUGAUAAAGAUUUGACGGAGAAUUCUCUGAUAGAGACGCUCUAUCAGAGAAUUUCUGAUAAAUAAACGGAGAAUUUCGGUAGAUUUGACCGAAGUCUGGUUUGCGUGUAUACCAGAUUAUGUCCUCCAAAGGACAGGGAAUGAACUCCGCUGUGAGCUUCAUGUUUUUAAUUCAUUUCAAAACUCAAUGAGUCCAGGAGCUCAAACCCAGGAUCUUCACAAUUUCAACACAAAUCAAUGUUGUAAUUCCCUUCAAAUUUCCCGGAAAAUCCAUCAAACCAUUAUCUUUUUUUUUUUUUUUUUUUAAUUAAAUAUACUUUAUUGAAUCUUUCUUAUAAUAAUUACAUUUGGUUUACAUAAUAAGUGGUCAGCUGUGGCUCUUCAGCUUUAGUUUGCUUUUCGUGAUUUAAACACUGUUUAUUUUCAUAACUUUAAAAGUAUAUGAUUUAUCAUUUUUGUAACACUAGGUACAAUGAGGAAAAAAAAAUGUCAAGAAAACAUAACCUAACCUAAAACUAACAUAAUCUUACCAUAAACUAAACCAAUCCUUGAAUCAAGGGGUAUUCAGAUAUAGCACAUUUUUCCCUGAAUUUCAAACAUUUUUCUUGAAUCUUCUGAUCCAACAUUUUAACUUCUGCUAAUUCAUGAACCUCACUUGAUCUUGUCCAGCCAGGAACAUUCAAAACCAUUUUGAGUACCUUAUUUUGGACACGCUGGAGCUUCAAUUUAUGAGUUCUAGCGCAACACUCCCAAACAGGUACUGCAUACUCAAUAACGGGGUAAAUUAUUUGUUUGUAAACUGCUAACUUAUUUUUCAAAGAUAGCUUUGAUUUUCUGUUAAUUAAAGGAUACAAACACCUGAUGAGAAUGCUGCACUUGUUCAAUAUUUUAUCUACAUGCUGCCGAAACAAAAGUUUCGAGUCAAGUAUGAGACCUAAAUAGACAACUUCCUUUGACCAGGGUAUCGAAACAUCAUUCAUUUUAAUCAAAACAUCAUCCUUUGGGACAAAUCUGGCUGAUUUGGAAAGUGGAAAAAUGAUGGUUUGAGUUUUGGCUGCAUUUAUGCGAAUUUUCCAGUCGCCAAAGUAUUCGGAAAGAACGUCAAGACCCUUCUGAAGACGGCCAACUAAAUAUCUGGUUAUUUUACCCUUAUAAAUAACGGCAGUGUCAUCAGCAAAAAGUGACAACACACCAUUACCAGGAAGAGUAGGCAAAUCAGAUGUAAAAAUAUUGUACAGAAGUGGUCCAAGAAUACUUCCUUGGGGAACCCCCGCAUCAAUGUUGAAUAAUCCAGAAGCAAUCCCAUUCAGAAAAACCCUGAACGAUCUCUCCGAAAGAUAGUGCUGGAUAAUUUUGAUAAGAUACAUUGGAAAACCGUAUAAAUACAGUUUAUGUAUCAAACCAUCAUGCCAGACAUUGUCAAAAGCCUUCUCAACAUCCAACAAAGCCAUAGCAGUUGAUUUAGACUCAAGCUUGUUCUGCUUGAUUAUUUUAGUUACUCUCGUAAGCUGAUGAGCAGUAUUAUGUCCCUUGCGGAAGCCAAACUGCUCAUUCAAAAUUAUAUUAUUAUCGUUGGUAAAAUCCAAAAGCCUUGAAUAGAUGACCUUCUCAAAGAGUUUGGAAAGACUACUCAAAAGACUAAUGGGACGAUAACUUGUUGGCGACGUUGGAUCUUUUUGAGGCUUCAAAAUUGGUAUGACUUUGCCCAGCUUCCAAUUGGUAGGGAAGUAACCAAGUUGCAAACAUUUAUUGAAAAUAUUGGCUAGAUGUUGAAAGAACUGAUCACUCUGUUUUUUCAACACCAGAUUAAAAAUGUUAUCAAAGCCAGGAGCUUUCAUAUUUUGCAUUUGUUUUACUGCAACUUUGACUUCCUCACCAGAAACAUGGGAAUCUGCUGGAAAUUCAAAGGUAGAGUUAUUAAUUGUUGAAAUACUAUUGGCAACUGAUGUUUCUUUACGGCUGGUCAUGGAAGCGCCAAGAUUAUGAGAACUAACAAAAUGAAGCCCAAGUGCAUUUGCCUUUUCCUCAGAUGUAAUCAAAGGAGAAUCCUCAACAAUAAGAGGAGGAAUAGGCUUUGGUUUGUUUUUAAGAACU